CUGAGUGAGGGCCCUCUGGGUCCAACCUCCCACCCGUGUUUAUUGUACCUUGUUGCUUCGGUGAGCCCGCCUCACGGCCGCCGGGGGGCUUCUGCCCCCGGGCCCGCGCUCGCCGAAGACACCCUUGAACUCUGUAUGAAGUUUGCAGUCUGAGCGAAAACUAAAUAAGUUA
rnacentral:misc_RNA from 1 species